CCUACGGGAGGCAGCAGUGGGGAAUUGUUCGCAAUGGGCGCAAGCCUGACGACGCAACGCCGCGUGGAGGAUGAAGACCUUCGGGUCGUAAACUCCUUUCGAUCGAGACGAAUGUUUUCCGGGUGAACAAUCCGGAAAAGUGACGGUACCGAGAGAAGAAGCCCCGGCUAACUCUGUGCCAGCAGCCGCGGUAAUACAGGGGGGGCAAGCGUUGUUCGGAAUUACUGGGCGUAAAGGGCUUGUAGGUGGCCAACUAAGUCAGACGUGAAAUCCCUCAGCUUAACUGGGGAACUGCGUCUGAUACUGGAUGGCUUGAGUUUGGGAGAGGGAUGCGGAAUUCCAGGUGUAGCGGUGAAAUGCGUAGAUAUCUGGAGGAACACCGGUGGCGAAGGCGGCAUCCUGGACCAACACUGACACUGAGGAGCGAAAGCCAGGGGAGCAAACGGGAUUAGAUACCCCGGUAGUCCUGGCCCUAAACGAUGAAUGCUUGGUGUGGCGGGUAUCGAUCCCUGCCGUGCCGAAGCUAACGCAUUAAGCAUUCCGCCUGGGGAUACGGUCGCAAGGCUGAACUCAAAGGAUUGACGG
rnacentral:rRNA from 1 species